rnacentral:tRNA from 1 species
ACCCUCGGUAGUUCUUUGUUCAGAACUAUACCGGUUUUCAAGACCGGAGCUAUCAACCACUCGGACAUCUCUCC